UGUCUCAGGGGAUCCAGGAUUGGGAUUUGUGACCUAUCCAGACGCUCUCGCACAACUUCCGGUCCCUCAGCUGUGGUCAUUCAUGUUCUUUCUGAUGUUGUUCAUGGUUGGUUUGGAUUCACAGUUCCUGAGUACUGAAGUCGUUAUUACUGCCCUGAUUGACCAGCAUCC